rnacentral:lncRNA from 1 species
GUGAGGUACGUGUGUAGCGGUCGAUAGAGCUUCCGACCCAGGUUAUUUCGGUAUAGUUAUUACCCUUAUUGUUUCAGUUGUUAUAGCUUAGAUAGUUAUAUGGUUCAGUAUUUUUAUUACAUUUGAAAAUAUGAAUUUUCGUAAAUGUAAUAAACGGAUUUCUGGAUUUUGUAAAAUAAAAGGUUUUCUACCCCUCGUGGUAGCGUUUUUAAAGAAUAAAGGUUUCCGUGUAGGAAACAGUUUUCAAAAGGUUUUCUGUGGAUUUUGCAUCUUAGUAUUUCAAAAUCUGUUUCUGUAGUUGGAAACAUUUUAACUGAUAGAUGUGGAUUUAUGUUUACAUAUCGAAUAUAUAAAUGUGAACCUGUAAUGUGAAUGGUAUAUGAAUAUAUAAUUGUUGGUUUUGUAUGUUCAUUUGGUUGUGGUUGUACCUGGGUUACUUCUUGUAUUUGUGUGACGCCGUGCGAAUACAGGGGAGACGCUGUCCGUGUGAACAGUGGAUUCCCUGUGUUUGUGGCGGAUCUGACAUACUCUGGGGUCAGGCUUUUCAAAAAAAAAAAAAAAAAAAAAUUUAGACGCUUUUUCCGCUGUGUUCAAAUAAAAAGGGACCCCGGGGCGUGACAAUGUUCUAGGUUUCGAAAGCUGUAGGUCUAAUUUGAAUUAAUUUUUACAUACCUAUCAAUAAAGGUUUUGAUCAAGAAGGAGAAUUGCAAACCUUUGAAGCUUAAUUGAGAUUUCCUAACUCUCAAUCUUAACAAUAUAGUUUCUGAAGGUUAUGAUUAACAAAACAACUUUGUUUAUUUUAGUAUGAUUAAUGAUAAUUCGAAUUUGAUUUGUUUUUUGACAGUUCAAUUCUGAAUUAGUUCUCGACCAUGUGCUUAUAGGGGAAAAAAGUUAAUUUGUUUACUUAGAAAAGAAAACUUUCUAAAUUAGAGUAAUUUCCAUUGCCUUCCCAGAAAAAAUAUAAGAUUAAUAUCUAUUGAGAGUACUAUUAAUGAUAAGAACUUUCAUAUCAAAUAUUGUAUGUAGACAAUAGUUUUCCCCUUCUUUUCUUCUGAAGUACUAUAUAGGCAUCAAUUUUCAUUCUCUUCCAUCUUUAUUGAUCUCUUGCUCUAGCUCAACACACUUGCUAUUUCUAUUCACCGUUAUUGAUCUCUUGAUGCUCUUGGUGUUCGAUGAAACGACUUCUUUCAAUGGUGAGUUGAAAAAUUAGGUGUUAAUAUUCAUUAUCUUAUAAAUCAUGAUGAUUGUAAGGCUUCACAUAAUUUUCGAAAGGUGAUAAAUUUUCUAUAAUAUUUUCUCAUUGCUGUUUUCUUUCCAUUUAUUUUCCUAAUGUUUAUCUUUUAAAUGUGCAUUACAUAUUUAUAAUCCUAUCUUUUUAUCUCAUGUGUAAUGUGAGUAGGAACCUCGAUUAGUCUUGAUUUAAAUGGCAAUACAAUCUUAACUUAUUUGAUCUCAUAGGUCAAUUUGUUUAAUUUAAGUGCCUUUUACAAGUGAUCUAUUAUACUUUGCUUUAGCCUAUGUCGUUGCUGACUGCUUCCUACAUUUUGCUCGCUCCUUUAUCUCUUUUAUUUAUUAAAUAAAGAAUAGUAAUGAAGCCAUCACCAUCCUUUUUAGGGACUAAUACAUUGGUGGAUUUAACAUAUUGCAUAACGAAUUUCUGAUAGAGAUUUCUCUCUUCACUUCUAGCUGUUAUUAAGUCUCUACGGAAGUCUUGAAGUCAUCCAUUUUGGCUCCAAAGAGGUGUUGUCUUCUUUCUCUGAUUCUAUUACUAAAAAGGUUGAUUAUGAUGUAGACGGAAUUCUUUUACAAGAAGCAUGCAUUUGUGGUAUGAAAAGUAGUCAUCUUGCUUACAUUUUAAUCUGUGUAGAGCAAGAAAGUUUAUAUUUUUACUCUCUAAAAGAUUUAGCUAUUAGAGAACGAUAUUUUUAUAUUUUUAUGUUCAAAACUUUUCCCUCAUGUCUAGACUCGAUACAUUUUAAUAAGCCCAAUAUGUAGGCUUAAUUAAAUUGGAGAAAUAAAUAAUGCUAGAAGUCUGGUGGGAUUCAAAUUCAGGAUCUUAUGCUCUAAUAUCAUAUUAAAUAAUGCAAAACAAUCAUUAUUCUAGAAAAUAAAAGCUUAAGCUAUUAGAGAAAGGUAUUUUUACAUUUUUAUGUUCAACACUUUGCUUUUUUUCUUUGUUAGUAUGUUGCAUUCAGUGACCAGUUAGUUGCAGUUUGGAUUUCUUUAUCUAUCGUGUAAUGUGAGCCAAACUAUUAGCUGCUUUGUUCCUUUAUUGUUGUAUAAAAUAGUAUGUAGAUUGUAAUAUAAAUAUAUCUACUUAAAAGAAAGAAAAUAAUAAUUUUGCUUACGCCAUGUUUUCCAUGAUUUGUUCUAUACUAGAAGAACGAAAGCUUUUAUUGUAGAAAUUGCUUUCAAGUUUUGUUGAAAAUUUGUUGACCAAAUAUGUGGAUUAUGCUGAAAAUCUAGUCUCUUUUUCUUUAAAAAAAGUUACACAUACAUUUCAUGUUUUUUUUUAUAUUCUUUUGUUUUUUACUUUUUUAUGUUGUUGUGGGAUAAUUUUUGAUUUUUUUUGUUGACUGAACUCUUUGAACUCAUCUUCGAGAAAUUUGAGACAGUUUACAUUUUUAUAUAUGAUUCCUAUAUGUAGGGUUUUAUCCUGAACAUUCCAAGUUUGAGAGAGGAGGCCAAUUCAGAAGCGUCUGCUUGGUGGGGCUCCUCGUAAAUUGGCGCUGAUUAUCUUGAACUCUAGCAGCUACUUCUAGGAAAGCUUUUAUAAUUUUUUGUUAUCUUGCAGUCCAUAUUGUUUUUUUUAUGAACUGUAAGAUAAUAUUUUAAGCUCUCAAAAUAUAUGCUUAAAUAUGUCAUUCUCUACUCAUUUUGUUUGAGACCAUAUUUUAUUUCUUUUUUUUCUCAUAAAUAAUUAUUUAUUUUCUCUUGUUGAUUAAUUUUCUAUUUCUGUUUUGAGAUUAACGUACGGCGCAUUUUGGCGAGAAACAUCUUGCUUAGCAGUAUCAAUACGAUAAAAAAUAAAAUAAUUUGGUAAAAAAAACUUAUGUUUAGAGCAUGAGUUAUCCCUUGCUUCCAAAAGUGGCUUUGAAGUGAACAAAUUAAAUUAUUUUUACAAAAAGGGGUUCUAGCUUUCUAGAUGCUUUUAGAUUAUGUAGGAUUCCACGAUUAUAAAUUUUGGCUCAUUUAUUGGUUAGUUGGUUGUUAUUUGUAAUAUCUAAGUCCGAAAUUUUGCAACUAUUGUUGCGAAUGUUAUUUUGUGCAUAGAAAUGAUAGAAUAUGCUUUUUGGUAUUUCUUCAUUUUAUGUCAUAUAUAUUAUGAUUCGUAUAUUUUAGAAUUCAACUUUUUCAAACUGUAUAUAAUAUUUUUACUCAGAAGCGCAAUAAUUAUAUUUAUGCACGAAUUAUAGUAACACUAUCUACUUGCAGAGGUAACUGAUACUUCUUCAUAAGCAAUAUAUAAAUAUAGGAAUGGGACAAAUACUUAGGGUGUAAUGUGGGCCGCGUAGCGCCGCACGAAUCACAUUCAGGAUUUUCUAUCGGCAAUAUGUACACACAAUUUUUAUUUUUUAAAGUUCGAUAAAAAUUUAAAAUAAUUAAAAUGGCCAAAAUAUAUACUUUCUUAUAACCAGAUUUUAUUUAUUUAUUUAUUUUUUCUGUGCAGAGAUAUUUGAGUCUAAAACUCCAAAAAUAUUUCCUCCUGAGUCUUUACGAGAUGGGCUCGGCCCAAUAGAGAGGAAAGGCCAGUUUUUGCUUAAAAAGAAAUUUUUUUAAAAUUUCUUUUUAAGUUGUGAUAUUUUAUUAUUCACAUAUUUUUACUUCAACAAUACCUACCCAUCGCAUCGCACGGGUUUCUACACUAGUUAAUUAUAAGUUAUUGAAUAGAGAGGAGGGGAGGGGAAAAGCCAAAUUAAAGAUCAAUUCAAAAAAAAAUGGUUAGUGAGGAUGGAGGAAAACUUGCCAUGUGGCAAAAUUAUUGGAAAUUCAUAUCGGUUAAUAGAUGACGCUUUCCCUUCCUUCCACUAUACUUUCAAUUAAUGCAAACGGUCCCACUACCAAACUUCUAAUUAGUAUAUUUAAAUAGUUCCACUACCAUCUACAAUCAUAACUCUCUCUCUCCAAUUAUUCAUUAUGGCCCUUUUCCUUCCCUGACUUUCAAUUCUUUAUCUCCAAUCUAUUCAUCAAUUCACUAUCUCUCAUUUUUUGCUAUACACCAUCACCCCCUUCUGUUGCUCCCUCCCUCUCUCUCACUAAUGCGCGCCCACUUCCCGCUUGCACCGCUGUCGAAGGAAUCAUCGUCGUCGUCACUAUCAUCAUUGCGGAGAAGGUAUCGUCGGGCCUAUAUCUGCCACCAACAAUAAGAGAUCUUUGGUGGAUGUAGUAAGUAAGAUACACAAGAGAAUGUUUAAUAUUUUCUUAUUAUUAAUUAUUACUACGGUUUCUACCCGCCGCAAAGCCCGGACCCCUUCACUAAUGUAUAUAUAUAAAGACAGAGAGAGCUGGGCUCCUGUGAUAUCUGUAGUACUAGAAUUUCAGUACUAUAGUUUUGUUUUCGAUCUUAGGGUGUGUUCAAAUCAAUGAUCCACACCGUUAAAACUAAUCUAGAAUAUUUAAAAAUUUUUAGAAAUAAAAUUUUAUAUUUUUUUGACAUAAUUUACUUUAUUAGCAAAUCAUUUCAAAUUGUCAAUUUUCAAUGGCUACUAUAGUAAGUUUAUAGUUUAAAGGUGUAGAAGAAUCUAAACUUAUUCAAAUUUUGAUAGAAAAUACUUUAAACUAUCUAGAUCAAAAUUAUCAUCUUUGAUCUUGAAUUCAAAAGUUCUAUCUUCAAAUUUAAAAUUUGUUCAAUUUUCAUCGUUAAUUUUGACAUGAUUUACUUACUAAAUAACGAUGUCAAAAAAAAUUAAAAUUUUAUUUCUAUGAACUUCAUAUAACCUAGAUUGUAUUUAACGAUGUGGGUCAUUGAUUUGAACAUCUCCUGUGCUUUUUAAAGCGACAAGUUAUUGGUGCUUAAAGGUUUACGGUCCUUCGACGAAGAUUUGUUGGAUUAGAAUAGUGGUCCUUAGAGUUGAGUGGGUGGUUGGUGGAAUAGCAUAAUCUAAGGGAUGAAAUUGGUUAAAGGGAUAAGAUCUAAUAUAGAAAAACUUACACGCACCAAGUGCAUGGUGCUAACCGGACUCUCUCUCUCUCGCUAUAUAUAUAUAUAGAAUUGAGCUCUUAUACUUUUAAAAACACCAAGUCCUUGGUGCUUGUAAGUUUUCGACCCUAAUGAAGAUUUAUAGGGUUAGGAUAAUAAUAGUUCCCUAAGGUUGAGUGGGUAGUUGGUGGAGUAGCAUAAUCUAAGAGGUAAAAUUGGUCAAAGGGACAGAUCUAAUGGUGAAAAACUUACAAGAACAAAGUAAUUGGUGCUUGUAUAAGCACCAUAUUCACACACACACACACACACACACACUCUUGCUAUAUAUAUAUAUAUAUAUAUAUAGAGAGAGAGAGAGAGAGAGAGAGAGAGAGAGAGAGAGAGAGAAAGUCCGGCUGGGAUACUAUCGAUAGCAUGAAGCAUUUCGUGCUAUCAAGUUUUCUGCCGUUAUCAUUUUCAUCCGUUCGAUGAUACUAUUCAACCAACCAUCCACUCAACCAUAAAGGGCCUACAUCAUCCUAACCGCACAUCUUUUCAUUCAAGGGCAGAAAACUUAAUAGCACUAAGUCAUUGGUGCUAUUAAUAGUAUUCCAGUCUAGUUUUAUAUAUAUAUAUAUAUAUAUAUAUAUAUAUAUAUAUAAACACUUGGUGCUACCAAGUUCUCUGUCAUUAGAUCUACUCUUNUAGUAUUCCAGUCUAGUUUUAUAUAUAUAUAUAUAUAUAUAUAUAUAUAUAUAUAUAAACACUUGGUGCUACCAAGUUCUCUGUCAUUAGAUCUACUCUUUUGACCAUUCCCACCCGUUAGAUCAUAUUAUUCAAUCAACCACCCACUCAACCCUACGGGACCACUAUUAUUCUAACCGCACAUCCCUUAAUCCAAAGGUCGAAAACCUAAUAGAACCAAUGACUUGGUGCUUUUCCAGCCUAGUUUUAUAUAUAUAGAGAGAGAGAGAGAGAAAGAUUUGAGCUGGAAUACUAUCAGUAGCAAAUAGACUAUAUUGCCACCCAUUUGUUUUUAAUGAUGGAGCCUCCAAAUCGACGAUCGAUACCGUUGAAAAUGAUCUAUACCACUUGAAGUAUCUAGAAAUAAAAUUUCAUAUUUUUUCGAUAUUGUUCUCUUGUCCAUCAAAUGGACGUAAAAAUGAACAGCUGAAAAUGAAUAUUCUCUAAAAACUGAUAAUAGAAAUUUUAUAACCAAGAUCGACAGUAUAGAUCUUGUUCUAAAUAGUUUAAGAAAUUUUCUAACCAAAAUUCAAUUGAUUUAGAUUGCUUUACACUGUUAAACGAGAAAACGCUUCAUAUCUACCAUUAAAAUUACAAAUUUUAAAAUCCUUUGAUCAUUAGGUCAAUGAUGUCGAAAAGAUUUAAAAUUUAGUUUAUAGAUAUUUCAAGUGGUAUAGAUCUUAUUCAACGGUGCCGAUCGUCGAUUUGGAGGCUCUAUUAUCGAAAACAAAUGAGUGACAACGGAGCCCGUUUGCUACCGAUAGCAUUCCAGUCUCUCUCUCUCUCUAUAGAGAGUCAGGCUGCUAUGCUAUUAAUAGCACAGCCUGACUCAUGCUAGUGAGUUUUUAACCACUAGAUCGCUUUGAGGUCUAUGCGCGCGCGCGUGCGAGAGAGAGAGAGAGAGAGAGAGAGAGAGAAUUGAUCGGUACAACUUCAAUUUGUCUUGGACACCAAACCAAACUGUACCAUACCCAUCCUUGGUCCCAACUCCAAAACAGGCUCCUCGAUUUUGGCUCAGAAAAAUAUGGACACUGUAGGCAUGUUUGGUUCGAAGUCGGAAUCGGAAUCGGAAUCGGAAUCGAAAUCAGAAUAAGCUGGAAUCGGAAUUAGAAUGACUCAUUAUCUAAUUCUGUUUGGUUCAUCACCUGAAUCGGAAUCGGAAUAAAUCAUUUCCAUUGUCGAUGUUUGGUUCAGAUAAAUAUAAAAAACGUAAUCAGAUUAAUAUAUUAACUUUAUCUUUAUAAUAUAUUAAUUUAAAUUCAAAUUAAAAAUUAAAUAUUAAAAAUUUACAUCAAAAUUUUGAAAUAAUGUCAAAAUUUUAAAUCUAUUUUUUUUAAAAAAAAUAAACUUUGAAGUUGAGUAAAUAAUUCGAAAUAUAAAACUAAAUUUUGAUUUAUUCAAAUUCAAACUUAAAAUUAUAAUUUAAAUUUUAAUUUGAAUUCACAAAUUUAAUUUAAGUUUUAAAUAAAAUUUGAAUAAAACUUGAUAUAAAUUAAAAUUUAAUUUAAAUUCAAUUCAUAAGGUAGAUUCGAAAUAUUUGAUUAAAUUUUAAUUUUUAAUUCAAGUUCAAAUUAAAAUUAAAAAUUAAAAAUUUAAUUUCUAAAUUUAAACUCAUAUUUUAAUUAAAAAAAUUAAAUUUAAUCCGAAUAAAUAUCCAUUCUGUCCGAAUUCAAAUUCCAAUCCCACUUCCUAGGAGGCCGGAUUGAAAAAAAAGGUGAUUGGGGAAUUCCAUUCCACUAGGGAAUCAGAAUCGGGAUGGAACUCUCGCGUACCAGACAUCCACAAACGGAUUCGCCAAUUUCGAUUCGAUUCCAUGAUGAAAAAGAAGCGAAUCAAACACGCUCCGUUUAUCUACCCAUUGUAACACUCACUGAAUGGGACCUAACCUAGUGGUUGCUAUUCAGGUCGCAGUCUACAAGGUCGAUUAGGGGGUUCAACUCUGCAUCACCACAUAAGUUCUCACCAAAUGAAAUAUUUUUAAAUUCUUUUUCACCAAACAAGAUUCGUAUUUUUAGGUUUUCGGAUUAUAUAUAUAUAUAUAUAUAUAUAUAUAUAUAUAUAGAGUUGAGCUAGAAUACUAUCGAUAGCAAACGAGCUUUGUUGCCACCAAUUUGUUUUAUAUGAUGGAGCCCCCAAAUCGACGAUCUGCACCGUUAAACAUGAUCUAUACCACUUAAAGUGUUUAGAAAUUAAAUUUCAUAUAUUUUCGAUAUUGUUCCCUUAUCCAUCGAGUGGACACAAAAAUAAACGGCUGAAAAUGGAUAUUCUUUAAAAAAUGAUGAUAGGAGUCUUGUAAUCAAGAUCAAGAGUAUAAAUCUUAUUUUAAAUAGUUUAAAGAAUUUUCUAACAAAAAUUCAAUUAAUUUAGAUAUCUUUACACCGUUAAACGAGAAAACGCCUCAUAUCAACCAUUAAAAUUAUAAAAUUUGAAACUCUUUGAUCAUUAGGCAAAUGAUGUCGAAAAGAUUUAAAAUUUAAUUUCCAAACACUUCAAGUGGUAUAGAUUAUAUUCAACGGUGCCAAUCGUCGAUUUGGAGGCUCUAUCAUUGAAAACAAAUUGGUGGCAACGAAGCCCGUUUAUUAUCGAUAGUAUUAUUAUUAUUAUUAUUAUUAUUAUAUAUAUAUAGUCCGGCUGCUAUGCUAUCGAUAGCACCAAGCACUUGGUGCUAUCAAGUUUUCUGUCGUUAGAUUAACUCCUUUGAUUAUUUUUACCGGUUAGAUUAUACUAUUAACCAACCACCCACUCAACCCUAGGAACCCCACAUCAUCCUAACCGCACAUUUCUCAAUCCAAGGGCCGAAAACCUAAUAGCACCAAUUGCUUGGUGCUAUUGAUAGUAUUCCAGCCUUGAUAUAUAUAUAUAUAUAUAUAUAUAUAUAUAAAAUUUAUCUGAAUUACUGUAACACUCUAAUAGUCUCACAUCAGAUAAUGCGGAAAAGUGUGAUGAACUUAUAAGUGACAGACACACUAGUAAUAAUAACUAGAUUUAAACACUUUGGAUUGAUAGUUUGGGCCCAACGAGCUACUAUUACUAGUGAAUCAGGUCGUUAUAUUUGAUAUCAGAGCCUGAUAAUCAGUCGGAAGUGUGAGAUGGAUUUUACAUUGUCUGAUAAAUUUGAAACUAUGUAUUUGAUUGGGUCAGACUGACAAAAACGUCAAAGCCUAAACUAGGGAACUAAUAGAGUAUGUCACACUCCAAUAGUUCAACGUCCACGUUGGAUAAUAUAGAAGAGUGUGAUGGGCUCAUUAAUAAUAAUUGAGUUUAAGUAUUUUUGUCUUAUGGUUUAAGUCUAACGAGUUAUUAUUGCUAACGGGUCGGGUCAUUACAAUUAUAGAUUAUUUUGACUUAGCUACCAAAUUUUUGAAUUUUUUAUUUUACUAUCUAAUCUUUCAAUUUAUUUGAUUUUUCAACAAUAUUUUGACUUUGAAAUUUAAGAUAGUUAUUUAUUUUAAUAAAUUUAUAGUUGCAAGAAAUAUACUUUAAAUCUAUAAAAAUAAACAAACGCAUUCAAAUUUUAAAGUUAAAGUUUCUGUGACUACUUCAAGUCAAAUAAAUAAAGAUUAAGGGAUCCGUAAUUCAGAUAAGUUUUAUAUAUUUUUACUAUUGAGGUUUAGGUUGGGAAUCUGCAAGCAAAUUCAAAAAAGGAAAAAAAAUCUAUUGUUGACGUGGUGGACCUGGUCCACCACCCAUUCCGAUACUUGGCCACUGCCAAGAUCAGGAUAACCCAAUCCUGAAUCUGCCACGUGUCACUCUCUCUGAGGAUCCCUCAUCUUCCCCAUUGACCCGCGAAAUCCCCUCCACAAUCCACAUUCAAAUCCACUUCAACACUCCCCACACUAACCAACUCCCCUACAUCAAAAGAGAGGCCGAGAGAGAGAGAUCAAUUCAUUAUCCUUAUCCCCCCAAAAAAAUGGCUUCUCUUGCCGCCGUUGCCGCCGUGCAGCCGGUGGCCGUCAACGGCCUCGCCGGCAGCUCCCUUGGCGGCGCCAGGCUCGCCGUCAGGCCCUCCCUUUGCCGCGCUCCGCGGCGGUCUGGCCUGAGGUAAUUGACAAUAAGGUGUUUGAUUUUAUGCCCCAAUGAAGGGCGCGGGCCAAGUUCGGCUUCUAACCGUGCCCUGGCGCGGCGUGUGGUUUGAAUAUGGCAGGUCGCGCAGCGGGGCUGUGGUGGCUAAGUACGGCGAGAAGAGCGUUUACUUCGAUCUCGAAGACCUCGGCAACACCACCGGCCAGUGGGACCUGUACGGCUCCGACGCGCCCUCGCCCUACAACCCGCUUCAGGUGCCUCGGCUUUUCCCUCCCCCCAUCACUGUUUGUAACGUAUGUAUCACGGAUGCAGUAAUAAGCCUCGCGUAUCCAUGUCGGACACGAAAAAGUCUAAAAUGUGUCAGUCAUAUAACUGAUGUGGUAUUUUCAACCAAUUAUAUUUGGCCUCUUGGAUUCACCUAUCCCGUUAUGAUUUUUUGAAAAAUAUUUUUGUUGUACUUUUCUCUCAAAAGAAGAGAUAUGAUUGGCCGGACAAAGAUGAUGUGGUGUAGCUGCUAGACAGUAGACUUCCUCAUAGGACACAUGCGUAUCCGUGUUGGACUCGUGUCCGACGCAGACGUGCUAUGGACGCAUGUUCAUAGCGCAUCUCAUUAAAAAAUUAAAGUAAAAGUUUUAUGCAUAUAUAAUAUAACAUGAUAAACAUUUUAGCUUUUUGAUGAAUGAUACAAACAUUUUUUGUAUGAUAUAAAUAAAUUAUGUAUGGUGGAGAAUUAACUUUCUUAAAAUAUAUGAACUAUUGAUGAAAGUUUUAUUUUCAUUUGUAUAAAAAAAUAUAGCAGUAUGUUAGCAAAAAUAAUAUUUUAGAUAUGAUAAAUAUGUAUUUUUAUAUUAAUAAUAUUAUAUUUUAUUAGCGGCGUCCAUACUGUGUCCAUGUCCUAAUUAUUUUGAAGCUGUCAAGUUGCCGUAUCCACGUCGUGUCGUGUCCUAUGUCCCGUGUUCGUAUCCGUGACAGCCGGUUUUUUUAGUUACUCUCUAAAGAUUUCUGGUUAAGAGAGGGUAGAUAACGUGCUUUUCGAGUAUAAUACAUUAAAACACGAUUCUUUAGCAACUCCCAGUUGUUAGAGAAAAACAAUUUUAGUAUGAUUUUGGUUCCUUUCGUCAAUAGAAAAAUCGCAUGAUGGUCUUGUGACUAUAAUCAGCGAAUGUGAUUAAAGUGCAGUUUUCUAGUAGCUCAAGAUUUUAGAGAAAAACCAUAAUUUCACAUCGAAUCGGGGAUAAAGGUACCGAGUUGAUUCUGUGGUCGAAAUCGGUCCUUGCAUCAGGGUGAGUUAGGGUGAGUCUUGAGUAUGAACUGAGCUUUUAGAGCAAAAUGGUGGUUCCGUAGAACUCAAUUUUUAUACUUCAUUUACUAUUUUGAAAUAAGUGGAUAUUUUAUUUCUUAAGAGCUCAAUCGCUGGUGCUUCAUGUGUACAUCAAUGAAAAUUUUCUGUUACUACUUUCAAGUAAAAGAGAAGCGAUAGAACAUGUUAUGCAAAAUAAUAGAAAAACAUCAGUAUCUACCACUUCACCUCUCAGUGGUUGCUGUUCAGAAUAUUUAUAUUACAUGCUAGGACUCGUAGUCGAAAUAUAGCAGAAACUGAGCGUAUAGGAAUUUCAUGGCUUAUUAUUGCCAUCGGCCACAUGAUUGUCAUAUGCUCAAUUUUUAGAUACAUAUAUAUCCAUGUACGUUCAUGUACUUACUGAUCUAUUUAUGCACUUAGCUACCGUUUGGUUGGGGAUUAAGGGGUGGAAUAACCCCUUAACCCCCAAUUUAUACCCAAACACCACUCUUUACUAACCCGGGUUAGUGGGAUUUACUAACCCCACUCCCCCUCCCAACUUUAACCCCGCACGCAUUCCGAGCCCUCAUCUUUUUCUUCUUUAUCAAUCAUUAACCCUACUCCCACUCCCAACUUUAACCCCGCACGCAUCCCGAGCCCUCACCUUUUUCUUCUUUAUCAAUCAUUAUCUUCUUAUCCCACCUACUCCAACCAAACAUUUUUUUUCACUAUCCUAUACUAACUCCAACCUCCAACCAAACACAAAAAAACUUUAACCCCACUUUAACCCUGAACUUAACCCUAUCCCUGGAAUAGCUACUUUUUCCUUAACCCCGAACCAAAUGGAGGCUUAAUGAAAUUUGCAAGCAACACUGUAAAGUGUAAUAACUUCAAUAAAAUACUUGUAGCAAUUGGAAAAUAAUACAUGGAUUUCAUAGAAGAUCUUGCUAAGAGAAACAUAGGGUGAUUUAUAGCAAGCUCGUCACCAAUUGACAUCAGUGAUUUUUGGAUUAUCAAAUGCAGAGCAAGUUCUUCGAGACAUUCGUAGCCCCUUUCACCAAGAGAGGCUUGCUGCUCAAGUUCUUGAUAUUAGGCGGUGGCUCCCUCCUUGCCUACGUGAGCUCAACAGCCUCGGGAGACGUCCUGCCGAUCAAGAAGGGCCCACAACUGCCGCCUCAGAAAGGCCCACGCGACAAGAUAUAAACUCUUUGUACUGCUACUUCAUCUCUUUCACUACUCAUUUAUGUUGUCGAUAUAGUACCUGUUCAAACUGCUCUGUAAGUAAGACCGGAUCUUCAUGCCUAUUUAUCUAAAAUUCCAUUUGUGCUUGCUGUAGGGAGAAUAUUUGCUUUGAUUUUUCUUCUCUGCUUUUGAUGAUACAUUACACCUAUUUCAAUGUAGGAAUUACCAUUAGAUGAAUUUGAGUAGUUCUUUUUUGGAUAGCAUGUCAUAUACUGCUAUUUUUCUCUUUUGGCAUCUUUAAGUCCAGAAGAAGUUCAUUUCUACUACCAAGAAGAAAUCUGGAGAUUCCUCCAUUUAAGAUUAACAAGUUGUCCUAAACUUACAAAUGUGACCCUUGCGUUAUAUUGAGUCGAAAACUAAUAUGAAGUGUGUAAGUUUACUAUAAUCACCAAUUGAAAUAUUACUACUGCUUAUGGUUAGUAGUCCUUUGCCUGAUUGUUGUUAAUACAAUGAAAAAAUGGUGCCAAUAAAUGAAAUCUUAAAUCUUCGAUAUGCUUUAUGUGACCUGGUAAUCCUUGUGGAGAGGACAUAAAAUUGAUGGUUAUGAUUAUCCUAUUUCAGAGAAACCAGGAGUUAUUCUGUCACUCAAAGACAAAAGAAAAAAGAAAAAGACAGAAAAAGACAAAGAAAAAGCACUCCUGUGAAGUUCUUUUGAUGCCUUAAUUGGUCUUACAUAAGUUGUUCUAUGGGCAUGAUACAUAUCCAUGUUUGAUUUCAGUGUGAGUUAGCUUAAUAUUUCAUUUCAAACAUUACGAAGGUUUAGUUCAUACCCUGUAGAAGCGAGGUUCUACAUGCUUCUACCAAAAAAAGAGCCUGAAACUACUCUUUUUAUCGGAGGCUACUUGGAAAUAGAAUCAACUUAUUAUUGAAUUACAAUGCUACUCAAUCAACAUUAUUAGCCAUUCAAUGAUCAAUUGAUCGUGGAGUUGUUUAAGAUGGCUACAUGGGAUUCCAAUAUUGUACUGUUAUGUUCAAAAGAUGAUUGUUGGACAAGGCUAAGAAGUUCUUGAUCACUAUUGAUGCUACUGAAGAAACUUUGAAGUUUAUUCGCAAAGUAUUUCUAGGAAAAGAAAUAACGCAUCAUGCCAGCCACACAAUCGAAUUUUCUUGGAGAAUUUCUUUUGUUUCUGGAGAGGGCAUUGGGGCAUUGGGAAUCUCAAUCGCAUUGUAAACUUAAGUAUUACCAUGAGGUUAUAACUCGAAGAGUACACAAAGGGGGAGCAUUUUUAACCUAUAUAGCACCCAAAUGAAUGAAAACCAACAACAACAGCCCUUGAAAACAACUAAUAGACCUUAGUUGUUUUAUCCCUCAGAAGAUAAUGCCUCUCUCUCUUUAAUCCUAGGACUUCUAGUGUCGCGCCGUUGGGCUUCUCAAACCUCCCAAGUUCUGAAGCUUCUCAAUAUAAGAAAAUUUCUUGUUAGUCACAAUGUUCGGGGGCUUCUUUAACUUGAUAGCAUCGACAUUUAAUGUGUCCUCCAAGUUAUUUGAAUCCUUCUUCUUUUCCUCAGUAUCUUGAUCCAACUGCCAACCCAUGAAAUCCGACAGCGUCAUCGAAGCGGGCGCUUCCAUUUUAUUCAGCUUCUCGAUUUCUUCUUUGGGAUCGAGGGUCCUCACCGUUCCUUUAACUAGCUCUGAAUCUGUUAAAGAAGGCCUUCUCUUUGACAGAUUUGGGUCCCGGGCAAGGGAAUCGGCAUAGAGAACAUCAUCGAUCCGGGACAUUACGUUGUACGCUAGGCUUUCUAGAAUCCUCGAGUAGCUCUCCAAAAUUGAGUAUCCAACAUCCUGAAGAAUUCAACAUGGUAAGAUUAAUCUAUGCCAAGAAAACUGAGGGUAAAUUGCACCAUUGUUCUUCAGCCUUUUAGCAUAGUUCCAGAUUUGUCCACAAUCUUUUUAUAGUUACAAUUGCAUCCUUAACCAUUACAUUUUGUUUAAAUCUCACUCUUUUGACAUUAAUAUCAACAUAAUUGUCAUCUAAGUGGCGCAUAAGCAACAUUUUGGAUCCUCAUUUGGCAAUUAUGCAGGUCUCUGUAUUCAACUUUAUAGAAGAAUCCAGUAAAAAGAAUAAGAUUGGAAUUGAAUGCAACGAUUAGCGAUCCAAUUGAAAUCAUUGAAAGGUUGGGGAUCAUUGGUGCCGUUUAUCCAAACCGAAAGUAAAGCAUAAUAGAUGAAGUGAAAUUCUAUCUCUUACCUUGUUGUAUUGGAUCUUGCUUAUGUCUAGAGACGAUUGAGGAAUACCAGGAAAUCGAUGCUUGAUAAUGAGUAAAAUGGUCUCGGCUCUCUCUUCGAAUUGUUCCCUUUUCUCCAUGCUGACACCCGCCCCCCAUGUGGACUUGGCGUCUUUAUGAUGCAUCUUCCUCCUCCAAAUGACAAUGGAUGCUUCAAUCCGAUUUUUGAGGUCCAGGAUUUUGUGCUCCGUCGAUAAGUCUAGAGAUGAUAGGAACUCGUCGGGAUCGAAAACAUCAACUGUUAUGCUCUUAUAGAUUGAAUCUCCGAGGCUUUCCCUCCCAUUCUAUAACAUGAAUUAAGAAGCAACACACUUCAAUAGAAGAUAUAAAAUGUGAAAGGAGCCAAAGACUAUUAAGCUACCACCACGUAGAAACAAAUCAACAAAGAGGAAUGCUUGUUUAUAUGAAAAAAAAAAAAAAAAAGACAUCGGUAUCAGAUUGUGAAAAUUUGGCCAGUACUUUAAGACUGUAUUUUAACGAAUAAUCAAAAGUUUCCAACAUCUAAUUCGCUAUUAGAAUCUUCGGCAUUAAAAUUAGCCAGGUAAGUGAAUUGUCUUACAUAGUACCAUAAGUGCUUAUUUCGCAUGAUUGCUCGAAUAACAAACAUCUAUUCAUUUUGAAAUAAAAAUCUGAAGCUUUUGCUGCGACCAAAAACUGAAAUGAGCUUAGAGGCCCAAAGCAGAAGCUCCAAUCUGAAUCUUUUGCUUCGGCAAAAGCAAGAAAUCAUUGGAGGGAUUCAAUGAACGACCUCUAAGUGUUGCUUAGAGCAGCUCUGCUCAAACAAUACAUUUGCAGAGCCUGCAGCCAAGCCAAACAGAGCCAAUAACAGAGUACAAGGAUAGAAUAUCAAGCCCCAUAAAAAGUAAAGCACAAACCAAAUUCAAUGUAUAUAGCAUUAGCAGUUCAAGUACCGUAAGCAUAUCAAUCAAGUUAAUAAAUUUUUCACGAAAUCUUAGAAAAGCUCUGCAUGAACAGUAAGUUUAAGUGUGAUCGAACCAAACCUUGGGAAGGGAUUCGAUGUAGGCUUCUGGAAUCUCCAUCUCCAUAAGAACAUUAGCAUUUAUAGCCAUAGCUGCUUUGAGAACUUGGUUCACAAGCUCCUUUUGAUACUGAAGCCAUUUUCUCGACACUUCGGAUAGGCCAUUUGGAGGGACUUUCACCGUCGGAAGCCACCACUUAUCGUCCUUCCUCUUCGCGCCACCCUUCUCAGACUCAUUCGCAUCUCUCGACACGUACGUAAACUCUUGGUGGUCUUUAAAAUUGUCGAGGUAUUCCUACCCGACAGAGAGAAGAAGAACAUAUUAGCACAUUAGUUUUCGGGGGACUAGAAGUUCUGAAUCUUUCUUACUAUUAGCAUUGCGUCGAGCUUGCGCAAGGCAGGGAUGUUCAUGAGAAGAUCUCGUCGUUGCUGAGUUACCAUAAUCUGCAGAAGUGAAAGAUGAUGAUAGCUGAGGUGAGUGUCCAGAAAUAAGUUUAUUGAAUUGCAUAGAAUUAUAAUCAGAUUGCUAGUGUGACCUCCAUGUUAGUUCCAUCCUUUGAUACUUGUUGGGACGGAACAAACUCUACGAUAUGGUCGGUGACCGAUAAAAGCAAGUCUAUCUCUCUCCUCCACCUUGCUUUCCUCUCAACUGCCAUCGGUUCUAAUCGCCAGCGCUCCCCGAAGACAGAAGCUGAAACAAUUACAGAAGAAGAAAAAGAAAAGAAAAAAGAAAACGAGGAACCAUAAAACAUUAGUCAAAUUAUUGUAGAAUAUAUGAUCAUCAUGUGAAAUGAAUCAAAAUCAAAGAAAUUCUGUAUGAAGGUUAUGGAUUUGAAAAACUAGUUAUGUAGAAAUGCGAUACACUGGAUAGUGUGAAAAUGUCGUGAGUCUAUUAUUAUUAGAAAGAUAUGAAAGGCAGGGCGCGAGAAAGAGUGUCAGAGAAAUACAAUAACAAGUUAAUAAGGACAUUUUCCUCUGUCGGACGGAUUCUGUAAGGACGCUUUCCUCGGCGUGAAUGAUUUGCAUUUAUUUUUGUCAGGGUUGUCAGGCACUUCCAUAGCUCAGGCCAAUCAUCGCUUCUUAAAUCAUUUCAUUCUUGAACAUAAAUAUAAGGUAAAUCAUGUUUCCUCAGAAACAAUAUUUUAGAUUUGACAACUAAUGAUGGCACAACAUUAUUAAGAUGUGUAUGCUUCUGCAAUAAUAUAGGACACAGUUAUUGCAAGUUAAUAUAAUCAUCAUGUACUAAUUAUCCCAAAUGUGAAAUAGGUUAAUAUGCCUGCAAGAUUGGUGAUGGCAUUGGAGAGAGCCAAAGCUGAAGACACUCCUUUGCCCGAGCCCGACAUGUCUUCGCCGAGAAGCAGCUUCGCGAACCUCUCCUUCAUCAACUCCAUAUCUAAGAAAGGAAAAAAAAAUAAAGCCUUUUUAACUAAAAUUUUUUCGGUUAACUUGGAUAGAAACACUCACAUAAUUGCCAUAUGAAAAUUGCGAAAGUCGGUUAUUGAUUUGAUGGAUGAAUAGAACCGAAUUGAUAAGACUACAACAAUCUAAAGGUUCGAGACCAAAGUGGAACUACGCGAAGCCUCAUCAUAUAUAACAAUUAAAAGGUCAUCACUAUGUCAUCGAAUUCGCCAUUCCUUACCCGAAGGUUGGCUGUUGCCGCCGCCCUCCUUGCCCAACCGCGACUUGGGCCCUCUCUCGGAGGACCGAGAGAGCGGCACGCCGACCUUCUGGGCCUCUGAAGACCUGCUCGGUCCCGUCGGUCCCUCGCUCCUCGAGCUAACCCUGUCGUCUGCGGCCUCCAACGAUCCCUGACUCUCCAGAAUCACGCUCCGAGACCUUCCCGCCAAGUGCUCGAUCACCAUUCCACAGCGAAAGAACCUCUCUAGACUGAAACCUCUCUUCAGGAACCGAACCAUCACAUGCGGCAAAUCGCCUCAGCUUAAGUCGAGAAACGCGGGGUGAGGCAUGUUGAAGCGAUUUUUGAUGUAGUGCAAGGAAAUGGAAAGGAAUGUAGUGUUGGUUGAGGAGGGGAAACCUCACCUCUCCAAUGAGGCAAGGGAGAGGGAGGGGAGGGGGAGGAGGGGGAAGUGCUUCUAAAUGAGAAAGAAACAAAACAAGGGCCCUUCUCUAUAGACCAAAAAAGCCAUGCAAAGGUGUGUGUUUAUUUUGGGAACUAAGACAAUUUUUUGGGGGUAAAUUGCACCACUAGUUCCUAGAUCAAAUUUCAUUCUAGUCCUCGAACUUUUAAUUUCAACAUUCGAAGACCCUGAACCUUUAAUAAGGUUAUAUUAAAUAGUUAUUAUCUGCACCUAGUUCAACUAAGUAUUCGUAUAUACAUCGUGAAUUUAUCUUUUCAUUUUUCGUCCUAUAUUUUCAAUUCAAAAGCCUGACUUUUUACGUACAGAAAAUAAUUACAUAAAUCAAUAAUUGAUAAGUACAUGGUACAUAAAUCUAUAGAUGCAUUAGAUAUAGGCAAUAACUUAUCCUCUAAUAGCAAAUAUAAACAAGGGCAAAAAUGAAACUCUUUAAAAAAGUUCAGGGACCACAAACUGCCGAAUUCGACAGUUUGAGGACCAAAAUGAAACUUGUUGUAUUUGUACUAUUGGGUGGUGGUAUUUGAGUGACUCUUCUCUCUCUCUCUAUUUUUUUUUUCUUUACACCUAAUUUAUUUUUUUUUUCCUAUUUUUUAUAUGGAAAAAUUCUAGGGGGGAAAUGUGGGGUGCAUGUUGAGAGAGGAGGAGAAAGAAAAGGUGAGCUUAUGGAAGGGGUGGCCUUUUUUUGGACCGUUUUCUGUUAUGAGACCAUUUGAGGUUGGUGAAAAGCCCGGGAAAUGUGGGAUGGCAAUAUUCCCCCAUUUCCACCUUCCUCCAUGUGCUUUUGCUUUAGCUUCUUGGUCAGAUCCGAUCCGCUGUCAUGUGUUAGUUUUGUCUGCUUCUUGGUCAGCCCCGAUCCGCUGUCAUGUAUUAGUUUUAUCUUUAUUCAAAGAUUAUUAUCUUUCUCUCUAUGGUUUAAAAAAUUCUUUUGAAUUUUAUGUUAAAAAAACGCCUUACACAUUCUUGGAUGAAAGUAAAAUUACCAUAUGUUACCGCGGAUCAAGGGUUUCCCAGUACGGCAUCAUUGGCUUUCGUUGUAGCUUCUUGGUCAGCUCCGAUCCGCUGUUAUCUAUUAGUUUUAUUUUUAUCCAAAUAUUAUAAUCCUUUUUUUAUUGUUUUAAAAAUUCUUUUUUUAGUAUUAAAAAACACCUAACAUAUUCUUGAAUGAAAGUAAAAUUAAUACGUUACAGCAGAUCGAGAGUUUCCCAAUACGGCAUCGUUGAUUUUGAAGCUUCUAGAUUUUUUUUUGUUUAGAUUCUAUUUGAAAUUGGUGAAAGAUUGUGGUAUGAUGAGAAAAAAAUACUAUUUAUUUUUGGUAAAAAUGUAGACAACUUACCUGAACUAUAGACCAUUUUAAUUCGAUUAUCCGACCUUCAAAAUUUUAAUUUUCGUAUCUAAUCUUUUAAUUUAUUUGAUUUAAAUAAUUUGAUGGCUUUCAGGAUGUAAAAUUUAAGCUAAUUGUUUAAUUUAACGAAUUUAUAGUAAUCCGAAUUGCAUGAUAUAUAUAAACUAAAUCUAUAAAGAUAAACAACACGUUCAGAAUUUAAAAUUAAAUGGUCAACAACUGGCUCAAAUCAAACAAAGUACAAUGUUAAGCAGUAAAAUCAAAAUUUCUAAAAAAGUCAGGUACUCAUAUUAACAUAGAAAAUAGUUGAGAUAAGUUUUAUACAUUCUUACCUUUAUUGUUAUACGAAUACCAUGUUGCGUAUAUUAUAAUGAGUCAAUUAUGAUAUAUUCUGUACACUCCCACGAAAAAACAAAGAAGCAUAUCAUUUUAAGCCUUGUCUCAUUGUUUUGCCUAAUAGCAUUAGCUGGUCCUUGAGAAAUCUAUAGAGAUUUUGUGCUAAGCAUAGUUUAAUAUUAUGUUUUUAAGGCAUUUAUUUUUAUGCUUCAAAGUGUCUAAAAGUUCUAAAAUGUUUCCAAUUAUUCCCCCUUCAAUUCUCUUGUGGCGGCUGAAAUCACAAUUUUACAGCUUUGGAGGAGAAAAGAUCAGAAACACUCGAGGAUUUCUGAGUCUUUAAAAUAUGACAUAGGGUGUUUUAAGCCAUUAUAUACUAAACUACCCAGAGUAUGCAAAUUCAAUGCAGCUUCGCAAGCAAAUAUUUUUCCAAAGGAGCUCAUUUUUAAGGGUAAAUUACACUUUUGGUCCUCAAACUAUGAAUCACGUGACAGUUUAGUCUUCAAAUUUUAAUUUAUUGUGAUUUCUGACUUGAACUUUCAGAAUUAUUACAUUCAAGUCCCACAAAAUAUUUUGAAAGUAUUGUGAUUCAUGAUAACGUAAUAUUAAUAUAUUACAUCAUUCCUAGUUAAUAAUUUAUUAAUAUUUAGCCAAUUAAAUUAGAUUGUGGAAUUUGAUGCAAUAGUUCAGAAAGUUUAAGUGAGAAAUUAUAACGAAAUAAAGGUUGAAAACCAAAGUACCAUGCGCCUCAUAGUUUGAGGACCAAAAGUGUAAUUUAUUCUUUUUUUCUUAAUAUAAUUUUUCAUUUCCUAGCAAUUUUAUAAUUAUUUUUCCCAUAAAUCUCUUCAGCAUUAAUUCAUGCAAAAGCUUUUGUCUUCGGUUUCAGAGGCUCAUUUAUGGAUCAAUAUCUUCGGCUUCUUGUUGGCCCUGGUUUAUAAUUUGGUCUUGAAAUAGGGAAAAAAAUAAUUUAAAUAAAUGAUCAUCAUUCAUGUUAAAUGAUUUGUAUGUUUCGAACUUAAAAUCUGGAAUACCAACCAUUAAGCAAUUAACCAACUGCACUAGGUACGGUUAAAAUUAUUUUGAGCUGUUAACUAUGAUCUUAGUCUUUUUGACAUGGUUAUCGACCUAAGCUAUUUAAAAUUUUUAGUUUUCAAAUUUAGUAACUUUUUCAAUAUUCUUUGUCUACUAACUAACUAACGAAGUGGUCUCAGAAUUAAUAAUUUUAUACAGAUAAUAUAAGGUGAGUUUGGGGGCUCAUAAUAUUAUGUCUAAUGUCUAUGAUCUCUUUUUUUUUUUUUUAGGGAAUAUAGGUUAUCCUCGGAUCCUGAACUCUAGAUAGCGAGUUUACAAAUGCGGAGACCACUUGAUCGUUAGAUAAAUAAUACUGAUUCGUGUAAAGUUCAAACAGUCUUAAUCGAAUUACUAGUCAUACUCGUGACUCAAAUAACCCCUUGUCGAAAAUGACGCGAAAGUAAACUAUCUUAUUUACUUUUAGAAAUAUUUUAUCUUUACUCCUAAAAAAAAAUAAGGUAAUUGUACAAGCAAUGCUACAUGUAUAUCUACCCAUUUAGGGACCAGUAUAUUCACACUAAUUUUAUUAUUUUUUGAAAUUAAACAUUAAAAAACUAAAAAGAACAAGCAAAUUUUUUGAAUAAACAUGAGAGAUGUAGAUCCACUUUUUGAUAUAUAAAUAGUAUUUUUUUUUUGGAAUAAUUACCUACGUAUCCCUCAAAACUUAUAAAAUAUCUUAUAUAUUCCUUUUUUUUUAAUUCUAAAUAUAUCCCCCUUUAUUUUUUCUUUACUCAAAAAAUUUUGCUGCCAAUAUUUGUUAAGUCAUCUCAGAUUGACUUCCGGUUAAAUUUCUACCAGAGUUGAAAAAUUAAAGUAUCUCUUUUGCCCCUGAUUUAAGGACAAAUAAGAAAGUUGGUAUUGAUAAAAAAAAUAUAUUCGAAAUGAUAAAAAGUCAAACUAGCUCUUUUGCUCCUAAUUUAACAGCAAAUAAGAAAAGUUGAUGACGAUAUCAGGACAUAUUUGAAAGUGCAAAAUAAUAAUUUAACAGUAAUAACGGCUAUUUCUAACCAUUAACUAAUAGAAUCUAGAUAUAUUUGAAAGAACUUUGAAAUGUCAAAAUAAUAUUUUUAAUAUUAGUCUUCUAAGCGAGCUAAAUAAAAAACUAAAACUUUUCAGAAGUAUACUAAGUGAUUGUCUCUUUCUUUUUUUUUUUAUUUUUAAAUUUGUGUAUUCAAUCACGGAGCAAAUUAUGUAGAAGUAAUGAGAAGGACAAUUCAAAGAAAAGGACAGUGUUUUAAUUAUGAUGUGAAUUCAUGUAACUAUCUCCAAGUCCAAUAAUUAGAUAUAUAGAGUGAGCAAUUGAAUUUCUUAUGAUUAAUAUCAUGGCCCAUGAAAUGUAAUGUAUCAAAAUUAAUAGUCAGCUAAUCAAAUCAAGCUGUUUCUUUUUCACCAUUAAUUUCAUUUCAAGGCAUGAUGAUAUGUACAAGCCACUAUAUAUAUAAUGUGCAUAUAAUAGUGUUUUCUUUCUGUAAUCAAUUUUAAUGAGAUAAAGACAUCUUUCCUUUUUUAGCAAUUUGAAAUAAAUCCUCCAAUUUUAANAUGUUUGGAGUUGCUUUUUGGAGUCAAAAAGCAUUUAAUUGGUGUUUUUGGCACCUCAUAAAAUAGAUUUUAUGGUACGCUUUAGGUUAACUAUGAACGGAGUUUGGGUGAAGUUGCUCUCGAUCUCUAUCGACUUCAAGAAAAAGUGGAUGUUUGAUAUAACUUUUGAAAGAUAAUUUUAGAUUCAAAAGUAUUUUUGACUGAAUAAAAUAUUUGACAAUCUCAUUUUUAAAGUCUGAUUCUAAUUUCAUAAUUAAUUUUUAAUUUUUAAGGUUCAAAAUCGGAAGCAGCUAAAAUCUACUUGUGAAGCAAUGCGGGAAUUUCUUGGUUUUGUGAAUUAAAUUCUUUUUUUUUUUUACAAUAUAUGACGAUAUCACCCUUGAGAUUUAAACUAAUUUAUUAUGAUCUUUCUUGCAUAGAAAAUUUGCUGGUUUUGUGAUUUUACAAAAGUGGAUCACUGUUUUUUUUUUUUUUAUAUAGAUUUAGCUCAAAAUUUUUUAAAUGAUCAAAAUACUCAUAUUCUCUCUCUCCCUGCUUUCUUUCUCCUCCGGGCUUCCUCUCGCUCCUCCUCUACUGCCUCCACGUUGUCGCCGCACUUCCCCUACCUCAUGCACAAGGGAAAAGACGGUAAGAAAAUUUGACUUUUCUGUGGCUGCGGCCGUUCUCGACGUUUUUCAGUAAGGUUGUCGCAGUAAAGAUGAGGGUGGCAUUGCUCGGCGUAUCGCCGGAGAUGGAGACGGAAAUAAUGAAGGAUGAAGGUGAUGAUCGCUGGUCGAUAAUGCUCCCAAAGUAGGUUAAUUUGGGAGUGGAUUGGUGAGCCUAGCUGACGAUGAUGAGAUGAUGGGGGCAAUAAAAGAAAAUUAAAAAUUGGAGAAUGACGCAAUAUUGCACUAUUUAUUUAAAAAAUGCACUUUUCGAGUAUAUAUUAUACUAUUUAGUAAAAAUAUUAUAUAUUUGAUACAUAUAUUAAACUAUAAAAUAUUAUAACUUUCUUACUAAAUGGCGCAACAUAUGUUUGAACAGUGUUAAAAGCAUCAUUUUUAAUUUGAUAAUUAAUUUAAACUUUUGUAGAAUAAUUUAUGGUGAUUCAACUUGUUAGUUUUUAUUGGAUUUUUGGUGAUUUAAAAUUUUGUUAGGUCUUUUGAACAGCCCAAUACUUAGUGAGCCUUGCCUAGGAGCCCAACUAAGGUUUUCAUAUGUGAGGUUUAGUCCCAUAUUGAAAACUAAAUGUGUGUUGUUGUUAUUUAUAUAUUGUUUCAUUCUCAAGUUAAUUAUUCGGAAGAGAAUAACAGUUAUACUCUCAACUAAGCACACGCACGAGCCGGGGCCGGACGGGCGGCGGCACGCACGGUCCAUGCACUCAAUUUAUUUUAUUUUAUUUUUUGGUUUUAUCUUUAUCCUAAUCCUAAUUUAUAUCUCGUGUAAUCUUAUGCUUAUCUUGCUCUACACGGAAUUGACACUGUUGAUACCAAAAUUGAGCCGACCUAAUCCACGUAUGAGCCAAUAAGGACACGUGGUACACCAGGAGUUGGCAAUAAGGCGCCUGAAGGACAAAAAGGUGGGAACGGUUGAAGAUUGGGGCGUAACUUCCAUGAGGAAUUAGCGUAACUUCCAUGAGGAGUUAGUAUAACUUCCACGAUCAUGGUUACAACCACUCUCCCCAACUACUUUCAACCAACUAAUAAUAUGGGCUAUAAAUAGUAACUUUGAAGCCUGCAAUAGGGGUCUUUGCCCCUGCGCACAGAAAACAACUGUUAUUUUCCUGCAUCUUUCUUUCUCGCAUUUACUGCUUUCCCUAGGAGUAGUUCUUGUAACUUAGAUCUUUGGAGUCUGUCUGCCCCAUGGGCAUCACUCCCUUAUAGAAUAUACUUAGAGUCUGUCUGCCCCAUGGGCAUCACUCCCUUGUAGUUGGAGUUUGUCUGCCCCACGGGCAUCACUCCUCUGUUCUUGUACUCCUCCAUUCCCUAUUCAGUAGAAAGUCACGUUCGGCUAUUCGGGCCGACCAGAUUUUGUGUUGUGCUAGCCAUUCGGCUCAUCUCCCGGCUUAAAUUCCGACUUUUCCCGCACAUUCGGCUCAUCCAGCCGAACCGGAGAGUGAAAAGAGCUUUCGAACCCGGCUGAUUUGAUCCCUCAUCAGCCAAUUCGCUUGAUCUAGUCGAAGGGCGCAAACUUCGAGGGUCACUAUCCGCAGUCGUUCCUCACCCCGACACGCUCCACGAGGAGGAUCUUUGACCAGGUCAAAGGUCGAAAAAUUCGGCUACCAACAAAUUUUGGCACGCCCGGUGGGACACAUUUUUAGAUAAAUUUAUAUUUUAUAUAAAUUAUGGUUGAUGAUCUACGUAAUAGGGUUGUUCCUAGAAAUUCUGGGAGUGAUCAACCUAGUAAUUUAGACAAUGCUGGCGAAUGUCAAGCAGUUUUGCCAGUUGAAGGAGAAAUUAGUGGACAGUCGGCUCAUCAAGAGCCGAGUCUAACUCAGGCACUCGGCUAGAUGAGGCGAGUCCUGCAAACUUUAGAUCAAAAUAUCCAUCAAAGUACCGCUCGACUAGACGCGGUGCUGGCCGCUAUCAUGGCCUAUAAUGAAAAUAUUGGUCAAAUCAGACAAUUAUUUAUCCAAAACAAGCAACCUUAUGGGGGGCAACAAGAGCCCCUAAAUGUGCCGGUGCAACAAAAUCCCGUCACACCAGCGGUUUUACAGGCGCAACCGCAAAUGGCACCUUUCCAGGUUGCUUACAGGCCGGCGAAUAUAAACGCCGGCCCUCAGUCGGAGAUUGCAUCGGGUUUACCUCCUUUACCAGCUUAUCAGCCCCAAAAUGUAGGGAUUAGGGCUGAGAGGCAGGCCCUUAAUGAUAUGCAAGGAGCGAACCCUGCAAUACAGAAUUCUAGAGUUCCUCAAGAGCAAAAUUCGGCUCAAGCACAAGCUCCGUUGUAUACUCAGAUUGAGGAAGUCAUUCGGAAUACCUUCGGAGUAGGGGCCAGGCCGGCUAUGCGGCCUGUUUUUCGAUCCCCAUAUCCGGCAAACAUAGAUACAGAACAUCCGUAUCAGACAAACUGGAAAAUGCCGAAGUUCGACAAGUUCUGGGGCGAUGAGACCGAGAAUACGAUCGAGCAUAUAGCCUGGUUCACGGCCCAAUGUAGAGAAGCGGUCGCUGACUCAUUUUUAAAACUUUGAUUAUUUAACACGUCGUUAACUAAAACGGCGUUUACUUGGUAUACAAGUUUAUCAGCCAAUUCCGUCCAAAAUUCGGACGAAUUGGAAAGAAAAUUUCAUGAGCGAUUCUAUAGAUCGGAGCCACAAUUAUCGGUCGCCGACUUGACUUUAUACUGACAAAUGUCAGGUGAAACGGUCGAAGAGUAUUUGGACCGUUUCAAAAUAGCCAAAACCCGGUGCUUUAUGAGAAUGCCGGAAUCAGAGUUCGCCAAAAUGGCGUUAAAUGGUCUACAUUUUAAGAUAAAAGACCAUUUUGAAGAUAAGUAUUUUUCUAACCUAUUUGAUCUAGGUGUUCGAGUUGCCCAAUACGAGCAAUUUCAGAAAAAAAGUGAGGACGAUCGGCUGCAAUGGAGCCGAUAUAAAAAUCAAAGCAAAUGUAAGGAGAAAUCCUUGCUAGAAGAACAGUCGGCUCAAGAAGAGCCGAGCCAAUCGAGUGAAAGUGAAGAAUCGGCUGAUGAAGCCGAGAUAUAGCUACUUUCUUUAAGAAGAAUAUUUUGAUAGAAAAAUAUUUGGUUCAAGAAGAGCCGAACUAAUCGAAUAAAAGUAAAGAAUCGGCUGAUGAAGACGAGAUAUAUAUGGCUGGGAUAAUAAAGCGCCGUUUUUCUAAAGCCGACCAAGACAAGCGAAACUAAAGCUUGGGUCUCGGCUAUACUUUUGAACAGUCGAUUUGGCACUAAUAGUCAUUCGAAUGUUCAUUCGAAAGACUAUUGGGGGGGCAUUAUUGAUACCAAAAUUGAGCCGACCUAACCCACGUAUGAGCCAAUAAGGACACGUGGUACACCAGGAGUCGGCAAUAAGGCGCCUGAAGGACAAGAAGGCGGGAACGGUUGAAGAUUGGGGCGUAACUUCCAUGAGGAGUUAGCGUAACUUCCAUGAGGAGUUAGUAUAACUUCCACGAUCAUGGUUACAACCACUCUCCCCAACUACUUUCAACCAACUAAUAAUAUGGGCUAUAAAUAGUAACUUUGAAGCUUGCAAUAGGGGUUUUUGCCCCUGCGCACAGAAGACCACCAUUAUUUUUCUGCAUCUUUCUUUCUCGCAUUUACUGCUUUCUCUAGGAGUAGUUCUUAUAACUUAGAUCUUUGGAGUAUGUCUGCCUCAUGGGCAUCACUCCCUUAUAGAAUAUACUUGGAGUCUGUCUGCCCCAUGGGCAUCACUCCCUUGUAGUUGGAGUUUGUCUGCCCCACGGGCAUCACUCCCCUGUUCUUGUACUCUUCCAUUCCCUAUUCAAUAGAAAGUCAUGUUCAGCUAUUCCGGCCGACCAGAUUUUGUGUUGUGCUAACCAUUCGGCUCAUCUCCCGGCUUAAUUUUCGACUUUUCCCGCACAUUCGGCUCAUCCAGCCGAACCGGAGAGUGAAAAGAGCUUUCGGACCCGGCUGAUUUGAUCCCUCAUCAGCCGAAUCGCUUGAUCCAGUCAAAGGGCGCAAACUUCGAGAGUCACUAUCCGCAGUCGUUCCUCACCCUGGCACGCUCCACGAGGAGGAUCUUUGACCGGGUCAAAGGUCGGGAAAUUCGGCUACCAACAAAUUUUGGCACGCCCGGUGGGACACAUUUUUAGGUAAAUUUAUAUUUUAUAAAAAUUAUGGCUGAUGAUCUACGUAAUAGGGUUGUUCCUAGAAAUUCUGGGAGUGAUCAACCUAGUAAUUCAGACAAUGCUGGCGAAUGUCAAGCAGUUUUACCAGUUGAAGGAGAAACUAGUGGACAGUCGGCUCAUCAAGAGCCGAGUCUAACUCAGGCACUCGGCCAGAUGAGCCGAGUCCUGCAAACUUUAGAUCAAAAUAUUCAUCAAAGUACCGCUCGACUAGACGCGUUGCUGGCCGCUAUCACGGCCUAUAAUGAAAAUAUUGGUCGAAUCAGACAAUUAUUUAUCCGAAACGAGCAACCUUAUGGGGAGCAACAAGAGCCCCUAAAUGUGCCGGUGCAACAAAAUCCCGUCACACCGGCGGUCUUACAGGCGCAACCGCAAAUGGCACCUUUCUAGGUUGCUUACAGGCCGGCGAAUAUAAACGCCGGCCCUCAGUCGGAGAUUGCAUCGGGUUUACCUCCUUUACCAGCUUAUCAGCCCCAAAAUGUAGGGAUUAGGGCUGAGGGUAGGCCCCUAAUGAUAUGCAAGGAGCGAACCCUGCAAUACAGAAUUCUAGAGUUCCUCAAGGGCCAAAUUCGGCUCAAGCACAUGCUCCGCUGUAUACUCAGAUUUAGGAAGUCAUUCGAAAUACCUUCGGAGUAGGGGCCAGGCCGGCUAUGCGGCCUGUUUUUCGAUCCCCAUAUCCAGCAAACAUAGAUACAGAGCAUUCGUAUCCGACAAACUGGAAAAUGCCGAAGUUCGACAAGUUCUCGGGCGACGAGACCGAGAAUACGGUCGAGCAUAUAGCCCGGUUCACGGCCCAAUGUAGAGAAGCGGCCGCUGACUCAUUUUUGAAACUUCGAUUAUUUAACACGUCGUUAACUAAAACGGCAUUUACUUGGUAUACAAGUUUAUCAGCCAAUUCCGUCCAAAAUUGGGACGAAUUGGAAAGAAAAUUUCAUGAGCGAUUCUAUAGAUCGGAGCCACAAUUAUCGGUCGCCGACUUGACUUUAUACUGACAAAUGUCAGGUGAAACGGUCGAAGAGUAUUUGGACCGUUUCAAAAUAGCCAAAACCCGGUGCUUUAUGAGAAUGCCGGAAUCAGAGUUCGUCAAAAUGGCGUUAAAUGGUCUACAUUUUAAAAUAAAAGACCAUUUUGAAGAUAAGUAUUUUUCUAACCUAUUUGAUCUAGGUGUUCGAGUUGCCCACUACAAGCAAUUUUAGAAGAAAAGUGAGGACGAUCGGCUGCAAUGGAGCCGAUAUAAAAAUCAAAGCAAAGGCAAGGAGAAACCCUUGCUAGAAGAACAGUCGGUUCAAGAAGAGCCGAGCCAAUCGAGUGAAAGUGAAGAAUCGGCUGAUGAAGCCGAGAUAUAGCUACUUUCUUUAAGAAGAAUUUUUUGAUAGAAAAACAUUCAGUUCAAGAAGAGCCGAACUAAUCGAAUAAAGGUAAAGAAUCGGUUGAUAAAGUCGAGAUAUAUAUGGUUGGGAUGAUAAAGCGUCGUUUUCCUAAAGCCGACCAAGACCUGGGAAACUAAAGCUUGGGUCUCGGCUGUACUUUUGAACAGUCGAUUUGGCACCAAUAGUCAUCCGAAUGUUCAUUCGAAAGACUAUUGGGGGGGCAUUGUUGAUACCAAAAUUGAGCUGACCUAACCCACGUAUGAGCCAAUAAGGACACGUGGUACACCAGAAGUCGGCAAUAAGGCGCCUGAAGGACAAAAAGGCGGGAACGGUUGAAGAUUGGGGCGUAACUUCCAUGAGGAGUUAGCGUAACUUUCAUGAGGAGUUAGUAUAACUUCCACGAUCAUAGUUACAACCACUCUCCCCAACUACUUUCAACCAACUAAUAAUGUGGGCUAUAAAUAGUAACUUUGAAGCCUGCAAUAGGGGUCUUUGCCCCUGCGCAUAGAAGACCACCCUUAUUUUCCUGCAUCUUUCUUUCUCGCAUUUACUGCUUUCCCUAGGAGUAGUUCUUGUAACUUAGAUCUUUGGAGUCUGUCUGCCCCAUGGGCAUCACUCUCUUAUAGAAUAUACUUGGAGUCUGUCUGCCCCAUGGGCAUUACUCUUUUGUAGAAUAUAUUUAGAGUUUGUAUGCCUGAUGGGGAUCACUCCCUUAUUCUUAUACUCUUCCAUUCCCUAUUCAAUAGAAAGUCACGUUCGGCUAUUCAGGCCGACCAGAUUUUGUGUUGUGCUAGCCAUUCGGCUCAUCUCCCGGCUUAAUUUUUGACUUUUCUCGCACAUUCGGCUCAUCCAGCCGAACCGGAGAGUGAAAAAAGCAUUCGGACCCAGCUUAUUCGAUCCCUCAUCAGCCGAAUCGCUUGAUCCAAUCGAAGGGCGCAAACUUCGAGGGUCACUAUCCGCAGCCGUUCCUCACCCCGACACGCUCCACGAGGAGGAUCUUUGACCGGGUCAAAGGUCGAAAAAUUCGGCUACCAACAGACACGUUGAAUCAAGAUUCUUGUCCUGGAUAUAUAUAUGUUGGACGAGAUUGCAUAAGUUUAACCUGAACCCAGGCAUACCUAAGAAUAAAAUCCUAUCCUCUACCUCACUUUUUUCUGUUUUCUCGCCAUUGAUCUUUUGCGCCGAUUUUCUCCCAUUGAUCUUUUGCACGGAUUUUCGCCAAGCUUUCUCAUAUUUUACUGGAUCUGAAACUUGUCGGUUUUGUCUUGCGCCAUCUUGAAAGCGUGUCAACGGGGUGGAACGUAGUCGUUGUAUCGCUGAAAGUAAUUGUCGGGAAGUUUCGCACGUCGAGGGGCAAUUUCGCUUCUAGGACAGUACUCUGCACACCUCGAUUCACAGACUUUUUUUCUCGAAAGUUUUCUAAACCUAAAAUUAAACUUUUAAAUUAUUUUUAAAGAAUAUUUUAAUAAAAAAUGAAAAAAAAUUUCCAACACAACUUAAAAUAUCAAAAUAAGUUAAAUAUCAAAUAAAUACACAUUAAUUAUUUUUUAAACAAAAAAAUAUUAUUCUUUUUCACAUCACCGUCAUAUAUAUAAUAAUAAUAAUGAUAAAAUUUUAAAAAUCAUUUCUCAACUGCAUGCAACCAAACAAUUUUUUUUAUAGUUGCAGUACUUUCUACAAUAUUGAACCGAAAAGGAUGCAUGAAGUUACAACUGCUGUAUUGUCAAUUGCAUAUAUCUCUAACUGCACUGUAUUUAUAAUUACAUCAAACUAAACGGUCCCUUAGUGUCUUACAUACCCCCUUUCGCCUCUUUUACAUCCUCUUCCUCUCCUCUCAGAAUUAUAUAUCUUGUAUCCGUCCUACAAUUACAUGUCACUCCACGCUAUUUUUAAGAUUCACGCAGAAUUAAAAAAAAUGGCGAAAAAAGAUAAGCCUAAAAGAACGUGUUUAAUAGGAAGAUUACUCUUUAAUCAUGCAUGCUCUUCAUUUUUCUUAUUAUUUUAACUUUCUCUUGCAAAUAAGAACAAGAUAUAUUCACAGUGCGUGGUUAUCUCUGAAGUCUUAAUGCAAGUAAUAUUUUCAAAGGGCAAUUGCUUAUAUACCCUUGAAAAGUUCCGAACUUUUUGAUUUACUUCUCUUAGAAACUUAAUAUUGAAAAUAUUUUUUUUACGUUCCAACCUUUUCAAAUAUAUUCAUAGAGUUAAAUUCUGUUAAUGAACUAUUUGCAAUAGCUAUUAUCUGUGUAAAAUUACUAUUUUGCUCUUUCAAAUAUACACUUUCACCAUCACCGAUUUUUUUAUUUGCCCUUAAGUUAGGGGUACAAAAAUUAUUUUGAAUUUUGGUCUUUUCAAAUCUACCCUUCUACCAUCACCAACAUUUCUUAUUUAUCCUAAAGUUAAGGACAAAAGAGGUAUUUUGAUUUUUUUUAACUCUAUUAGAUAUUUAACUCAUAGUUAACCUAAGUUAACUUAACGGAUAGUAACUGCAGAGGUAUUUUGAAAUAACGAAGGAACAUAUGAAGGGUAUAUUAAAAAAAAAAAAAGGGAUAAAUGAGAUAUUUUUGAAAUUUUGAGUGCUAUAUAGGCAAUUAUUUCUAUUUUCAAUCAUAUGAGUUAUUCUUAACUUGACACGCAAAGUGCUCUUUUUUUUAUUCCCUAGUUUCAUGGAAGUAGACAAGCGUGUUAGUUUUCUAAUGCUUUGAUUUUGUAUCUAAUCAAGGGGUUUCCCCCAAGCUAAGAUAAGUGCUCUUAGAUAUGGUUUCAGUGGCUAAAAUUGGUGGGCACACAAAGUACACUGUCCAUUUCAUAUUUUUGGACCAUUCCCAUAUGGGGGGGGGGGGGGGNGAGUUUUAAAGACACAAACCAUCUUUCCAUUGGUCCAAACAACCAACUGAAACCAAUCAUGUAUGGCAAGGACCGAAAACGAGCCGAGCUCGAGCGAGCUAAUCUCAGCUUAAGUUCGACUUGAAAUUAAUUCGAGCCUAAAUUUAGGCUCAAGCUUGGUUGAAAUUGAUUUGAGCCGAGCUCAAGUGAGCCUAACUCUGAGCCGAGCGAGAUCGAGCCCUAAAAGAGCCGCUUGAAAUUGUUAACAUCAAACAAUUUAUAGCUUAUAUUUUAUAAAACAUUAUCUAGAAUUUGUAACGAAAUAUGUUUAAUAGUUCAACAUACAAAAUAAAUGUGUAUAUUUUGCUGGUUUAGUCUUACGGACCAGCAAAUUAAUAUGGCCCGAUAAUCUAAACUAGCUAAGGGCACGCGCGAUGUCGCAGGGAGAUAAUAUUUCAGUUAUUUUUCAGAAUAUUUAUUUUUUAAAUACGUAUAAUUUUACGAAUACGCUCGCACAAAUUAGAUACAAUAUUUUACACUAACUUUAUUCGAAGCACAUUGCUUUCAUACAUUUUAUAAUAUUAAAUAAAAUUAAAAUUAUAUAAAGUAUUACCUAAUUAAAAUAGUAAGAGAACACAAAAUCGCGCACUAUCAAAAAACAAAGGGUGAACAACAGCUGCCUAUUUAUAAAAAAAUAAAUCAACCAGAUGUAUAGCUAUUUCUUUACAUUGUAUUUAGAAAAUUUUAUUAUAAAAGUAGAAAUUUAGUAAUUUUUGUAUUAAGCCUUUUUUAUAUAUUAUAGAUUGCAAUUAUUAUGUUAGAUUUUAAUUUUUUCAUAUGAAUUAUUAAAAAAUAGAUUUUUUUUGUUCAUACAAGAAUUUUUAGACGUGGUGUAGAUAAAAAAAGAAAGAAAAGAAAAGGUAAUGGGAGAGAGAGGGCAGUGGAGAAAGCGGAUGGGCCCCACCAAUGCUCCAAGUCGGUGUAUAACUUUUUUUUUACACUGAAUGAAAUUUUAAUUUUUUUAUAUCGACUAUUAAAAAGUAUGAUUGGUCAAUGCAAUAAAAUUUUACACCCAAUGUAGAAAAAAAUAAAAAAAAAUCAAAUUAUAAAUUGUAUAUGAACAUAUCUUAUACACUUGGUGUACAAUUUUUUUUAUACCGUGUGAAAUUUUAAUUUUGUUAUAUCGAUUAUUAAAAAAUAGAUUGGUCCAUACGAUAAAAUUUUACACUCGGUGUAGGUAAAAAUAAAAAAGAAAAGGAAAAAAAAAAGAGGGUGCAGGGUGAGCAAGAGAGAGAGUGUGUGGGAAAGUGAAAAAAAAAAAGGUGGGCCCCACCAAAGUGAGUAGGAGGCGGCCGUACAAAUUUUGGGUUAUAUAUAUAGAGAGAGAGUUCGACUACUAUACUCUUAUGAGUAUAGAUCUUUUUGUACUCAUAAGUUAUUUUCGAUUAUCAUUAGAUUAAUAAAGUCGGAAAGAUGAAAUUUGAUUUCUAGAUAAUUUAAGUGGUGUGAUCAUAUUUAACCGUGCUGAUCGUCGAUUUGGAGGCUCCAUCAUCGAAAAUAAAUGGGUGGCAACGAAAUCUGUUUGCUACUGAUAGCAUUUCAGCUCAACUCUACAUAUAUAAAUAUAAACUAAAAUUAGCGAGAAUAUAAUAUAUAAUGUAAUUAAAGGUUCACACUCAUGUUCAAUUUUGUAUACCUAUGUUUUAUUCAACAAAUUUUAAUAUUUUAAUAAAUAUAAAUACAAUUUUAACAUAAAAUUGUAAUAAAAUAAACAAAAAAUAUAAUUGAGAACCACUUUAUCUUCUACAAUAUAUAAGAAAUACAUUGCAAUUAAAGAUUCACACUCAGUAACCACUUUCUUUUCUGCUUUUAUUUCUGUACCGCUAGAAUGGAAAAUGUAAUGGACAUCUAUGAUUUUGAGAGGAUUUGGUUAAGAGAAAGGAGAGCAACAAAGGGAGAGGAGAGCGAGGUGGUUGUGAGAGACGGUUUUGAGUAAUUUAUUUUGGAAUGGACCAAUACGAAAUUCAAAGUUGGACUAGGCCCUAAAUGAAUUGAGUCAUUCCUAUUCCAGAGUGGAAUGAGAAUCGUUAUUCGAUUCUUAUAAAAUAAAUAACAACUAUUAGAAUCACUAAAUCUCAUUACGAUUUCAUAGUCCAAAAUAAGUGAACCAAACAGGCCCUAAAAUUUCUCUAAUUUUGCUGUUUGUUUGACAGGUAGAAUUUUAUUAUUUUUUCUCACUCCUUGUAUUUUUAAUUGAUUUUGACUGGGGGGUAAACUGAAGUCAAUUACAGUAUUUUAGAGAGUUUGAGUUUCGAUUAAACAACAAAAGUAGACAUCUAUAGUAAAAAAAACCAUCCAUCUCUCUUUACUUUCGAUAAAACAAACACGCACUUAAUACCUAAGGCACAGAAAAACAUUUCUACCACAGCAAUUGUUCUCUUAGCCAAACAAUUAGGCAUGUCAAGGGGUCGAAUUUGGGGUUGGUUUUCAGAAACCCGAACCUGACUACUACCCCCAAAAACCGAACCGAAUCCGAAUUUCAAUAGAUUUUAAAAUCCAUAUACAAACCUAAAUUAGACCAAAAAUUCGAAACCCGAACCAAAAAAUUUAAACUCGAAAUAAUUAUUUCUCUUUACCAUAUUUCAAAACAUAUUACAUUAAAUCUAGAUUUUUAAAAUACAAAUUCAAAUAUAUCAUAAAAUGUUCAUAUCUACAUUUUAUAAUGUAAAAUCAAUUCGGAUUCGAAUUUGGGUGCAAGUUAAAUGCACACAAAAUUCAUAUCCGAAUUUAAAUUCGUCGAAUUUUUUAUUUUUAUAUUUAUAAUUAUAUUCAAAAUUAUAUUCGUAUAGCAUUGAAGAAAUCUGCUCAGUAAACAUCUACAUCC